GCGGGCGUCGCCAAGUGGUAAGGCAAUGGAUUGUGACUCCAUUAUUCGCGGGUUCGAACCCCGUCGUUCGCC
rnacentral:tRNA from 1 species